GUGAAUUAAAGCAGAUAGGGGAUGCCUAGGCUUGUUUGGCCGAAGAAGGACGUAGAACUCCGCGAAAGGCGUCGGGUAGCUGAGUACGAGCGAUGAUCCGGCGGUGUCCGAAUCGGGUAACCGCGUUUUGCGAGAUCAAAACGGCUGUGCUCCUUGUGAGCAUGGCGGGAACCUGGGGAACUGAAAUAUCUAAGUACCCAGAGGAAAAGAAAUCGAAAGAGAUUCCCUUAGUAAGCGACGAGCGAACAGGGAAGAGCCCAAACCCCGCUUUUAGCGGGGGGUUGUAGGACCUCAAUAUCAGAAUUUAGCUUCGUAGAAGAACACCGUGGAAUAGGUGGCCAAAGAACGUGAGAGCCGUGUAUUUGAAAUGCAGCUAUAACUGUAGAGUGUUCCUGAGUAGGUUAGGAGACGGCAAACUCCUUUCUGAAUCUGGGGUGACCACACUCCAAGGCUAAAUACCAAACAAGACCGAUAGUGAACGAGUACCGCGAGGGAAAGGUGAAAAGAAGGGCGGAAGGCCCCGUGAAAUAGAUACUGAAACUAUCUGCUAACAAUCAGAGAGAGUCCCCUUUGUGGGAUGAUCUCGUGCCUAUUGAAGAAUGAGCCGGCGAGUAUUUGUCCGUUGCAGGUUAACUCUUUUGCAAGAGGGAGCCAUAGUGAAAGCAAGCCUGAAUAGGGCGACUUUUGUAACGGAUGAAUGACCCGAAACCAGGUGAGCUAUCCAUGACCAGGGCGAAGUCUCGUUAAACCGAGAUGGAAGCCCGCACCGUUGUAUGCUGCAAGAUGCUCGGAUGAGUUGUGGAUAGAGGUAAUAUGCCAAUCGAACCUGGAGAUAGCUGGUUCUCCCUGAAAUAUAUUUAGGUAUAGGGUCAUGCGAAUCGUUAGGGGGGUAGAGCACUGAACGGGUGUUCCAGAAGUAAUUUUGGACAUCUAAUCAAACUCCGAAUACCCUAGCGUAAUACAUGGCACUCAGCAUCCGGGAGCUAAUUUCCGGAAGCAAAAGGAAAACAAUCCAGACCAACAGCUAAGGUCUCAAAAUGUAUGUUUAGUGGGAAAGGAAGUGUAUUUUCUAAGACACCUAGGAGGUCGGCUCAGAAGCAGCCAUCCUUUAAAGAUAGCGUAACAGCUCACUAGCCGUAGAAAGUAUGCGCCGAAAAUCCAACGAGGCUCAAACAUACUACCGAAGCUUUGGAUUUCUUCCCGCCUUUGGCGGGAAGGAGUGGUAAGGGAGCGUUCUGUGUGCAGUGAAGGUGCCCCGUGAGGAGGCGCUGGAGCGAUCAGAAGUGAGAAUGCCGGCAUAAGUAGCGAAAUUAUAGUGAGAAUCUAUAACUCCGAAUGACCAAGGUUUCCGCACCCACGUUCGUCGUGUGCGGGUUAGGCGACCCUAAGGUGAGCCCAUGACUUAGUUAUGGGGUAGCCGAUGGAUUACCGGUUAAUAUUCCGGUCCUUGGUACGUUUCAUUUGACUUGGGGAGGGACGGUGCAGGAUAGUGUAUAGCAGGCAGUGAAUGUCUGUUUCAAGCAGUAAGGCAGUCUGAGUAGGCAAAUCCGCUCAGGCGUUUAUCCGAGCUGUUAUGAGCACACAAACCUUCGGGUGAGUAUGUAUACAUGAGUUCAGCAUCCUGGAAAAGCUUCGCAAGGAGAAACGUAUCAAAUCGUACCGAUAACCGACACAGGUGGUCAGGUCGAGUAGACCAAGGAGAGCGAGAGAAAGUAGUUUAAGGAAUUCGGCAAAACAGCUGGGCGUAAUCUAGAGAGAUGCCCUUCCUCCGUAUUCAUACGGAGGGCGCAGUGAAUGUUGUGGGAUGGACUGUUUACCAAAAACAUAGGUCCGUGCGAACUCGUAAGAGGCAGUAUACGGGCUGAAGCCUGACCGGUGCCAGAAGGUUAACUGCGUGGGUUUUUCCCGCCUUUGGCGGGAAUUGCCUGCAAUGGAAGCCCUGGUGAACGUCAGCAAUAACUAUAAUUGUUCUAAGGUGAAUUAGUUGCCUUAGUAAAACUUGGCUAAAUGCUGGAACGUCUGAGUAUCGUGCUCUACUUAAUGUAAGGACAUUGUUUUAUUUUUAAAACAUGUCUAAGCGAAGUAACAAUGAGUCACGUGCAGAAAAUCAGCAGGAAAGACUAGUUCAAAUUGGCUGGAUAGUUGGUUUUGUAGAUGGAGAAGGAUGUUUUUCAAUUAGUGUGUUUCGUAACAGAACCACGCGAUUUGGAUGGCAAAUUUUUCCUGAAUUUGUAGUUACACAAAGUGAAAAAAGUUUAUCUACUUUAAAACAGAUAAAGAAAUACUUCUCAUGUGGCAACAUUUUCAUUAAUAGAAGGUAUGACAAUCACAAGACUCCGAUAUAUCGAUAUUGUAUUCGAAAUAUUGCUGAUCUUGAGAAAGAAAUACUACCUUUUUUUGAAAAAUACAAACUUCAAUCUGCAAAGCAGCAAGAUUUUGAAAAAUUCUCCGUGGUGGUGCGCAUGCUGAGAAGCAAAGUGCAUUUAUCAAAGGAGGGAUUUCAAGAAAUUGUAAAAAUUACUGGAAAAUCAAUAGAACUAGAAUCCUCAGAGACUACACGCCAGGCCCUGCUAGCGCGGGGAUGAUAUAGUCCGAUCUUAUAGGCGACUAUAAGUGCAACUUAAUUCGUAGUUGCUUUAGCUUUGCUAAAUAACACAACGUGCUUUUAACAAAGUAAAUGAGCGAAGUUCCUUGUCGCUUAAUUGGCGACCCGCACGAAAGGUAUAACCAGUCUCACACUGUCUUGAACUAUUACUCGGCGAAAUUGAAAUGGCUGUGAAGAUGCGGCCUACUGAUGGCAGGACAAAAAGACCCCAUAGAGCUUUACUAUAACUUGGCACUGAGGGUGUAUGUGAAAUUGUCUAGUAUAGGUGGGAGAAUCCUUCAUUUUUGGGGGAUUCGCCAGUGUAAUACCACCCGUUUUAUAUAUAUCCUCUUACCUAAUCUGUCUGCAAACGGCAGAGGGAACACUGUCUGGUGGGUAGUUUAACUGGGGAGGUUGCUUGCUAAAGAGUAACGCAAGCGCGCAACGGUACCCUUAGCCUGGAUGGAAAUCAGGCUGGACGUGCAAUGGCAUAUGGGUGCCUGACUGUGAGACAUACAAGUCAAGCAGAUGCGAAAGCAGGUCAUAGUGAUCCUCGUGUGUUUUGUGGAAGACACCGGGCUUAUCGGAUAAAAGCUACCUUGGGGAUAACAGAGUCAUCGCGCCUAAGCGUCCCUAGCGUCGGCGCGGUUUGCUACCUCGAUGUCGACUCAUCGCAUCCUGGGGCUGUAGAAGGUCCCAAGGGUUAGUCUGUUCGCCUAUUAAAGCGGUACGUGAGUUGGGUUCAGACCGUC
rnacentral:rRNA from 1 species